rnacentral:rRNA from 1 species
GAGGAGCCUGCGGCAGAUUAGCUAGUUGGUAAGGUAACGGCUUACCAAGGCGAUGAUCUGUAGCCGGCCUGAGAGGGCGGUCGGCCACACUGACACUGACAUACGGGUCAGACUCCUACGGGAGGCAGCAGUCGGGAAUUUUGGGCAAUGGGCGAAAGCCUGACCCAGCAACGCCGCGUGAAGGAUGAAAUCCUUCGGGAUGUAAACUUCGCAAGAACGGGAAGAAUAAGUAAGAGUUAAUAUCUCUUACGAUGACGGUACUGUUUGUAAGCUCCGGCUAACUCCGUGCCAGCAGCCGCGGUAAUACGGGGGGAGCAAGCGUUGUUCGGAUUUACUGGGCGUAAAGGGCGCGUAGGCGGCCACCGCAAGUCGACUGUGAAAUCUCCGGGCUUAACCCGGAAAGGUCAGCCGAUACUGCGGGGCUAGAGUGCAGAAGGGGCAACUGGAAUUCUCGGUGUAGCGGUGAAAUGCGUAGAUAUCGAGAGGAACACCUGCGGCGAAGGCGGGUUGCUGGGCUGACACUGACGCCGAGGCGCGAAAACUAGGGGAGCGAACGGGAUUAGAUACCCCGGUAGUCCUAGCCUUAAACGAUGAAUGCUUGGUGU